UACGGAGGGUGCAAGCGUUGAUCGGAAUUACUGGGCGUAAAGCGCGCGUAGGCGGAUUGAUAAGCAGGAUGUGAAAGCCCCGGGCUUAACAUGGGAAUGGCAUUCUGAACGGUCUGACUGGAGUAUGGUAGAGGGUAGUGGAAUGUCCGGUGUAGCGGUGAAAUGCGUAGAUAUCGGAAGGAACACCAGUGGCGAAGGCGACUACCUGGACCAAUACUGACGCUGAGGUGCGAAAGCGUGGGGAGCAAACAGG
rnacentral:misc_RNA from 1 species